ACUUAAAUUCUUACUCGCGUGCCAAGCCCGCGAAACCGGGCAGCGGGCUUAUAUAAGCCGGGGUCUGUGCCCACCGCGCGCACAGCCUGACUCCACUUUGAGUGACAUCCCCAGCAGUGCGUUUUCCUGAGUGUCGAUUGCCGUCUUAUUGUUCAGCUACAUACACCACAACGGCUCUUUUAAGAGCCACAUCUUGAGAACGUCUUUGACUUUCAGCUACAUACACCACAACGGCUCUUUUAAGAGCCACAUCUUGAGAACGUCUUUGACUUUAAAGUUCUCUACAGUCAACCACACUCACUCAACGAUAUCCACAGUUCACACUUGAUCAAAACCAAGGU